GGCCGCUCAUCGGGAGGCGACAGGAGCGGCGAGGGCACAGAAACACACAGCCACGCUGGGGCACCUCGGGGUCAUCGCCGCCCUUCCUCAGGCUGCGUCCCCCGCUGCGGUUCCGCCUGGGAAAAAGAAAGAGCUCGAGAGACCUGAGCGCGCAGGAGCCCUUCUCCAAGGUUUUUCUGAAGGCUGGAAAGAGGUACUGCCUGUACACGCGGCCUGCCAGUACCACCCGGUGCAGAGCUCACAUUAGGACCCGGUGCACCUGAAGCAGCACAGCCCGGACACGCAGCGCCAACGUUUCAAACGCAAGAUUCUUCCCUCACAUAAAAACCCUGUGAAGCACUUAAACAUGAACGGCUUAUGUGAAACUACGAUCGUUCCUUCUCAGCUCGUCAGAACGCCUGCAGAAGGGCCCCACCGCAGCGCACCCCAGAGCCCGUAUUUUGGGACACGCCUGGGCAGAGGCCUGGCUCAGCCACUGGCAUUUCCAAUAGAAGCACAACAUUCACGUCUCUGCGAUGUGCGAGCACAGACAAGAGGGGAACUGCCGAGGUCUAAGGGAAAGUUACGGUGCUUGUUUAAGAUGAAGAUGCACAUGAAACGACUUGUGGUUGCCGUACUCGUACCUCUAGCAGCAGCAGGAGCACAACGGGUCAGUCACCAUGACGAAGCUCUGGUUGCCCCGGCCGUGACAGCAGCAGCCGCAGCGGCCAGGCCGUGCCGGGGCAGCCAGCAGGCGGGCAGCGCUGCAGCCGGAGCCAGCAGCCCGCGCGGCGGCACACGGUCAGCGCUGCAGCGAGCACCAGCGGCGACCACAAAGCACCGUAACCGCUGUGAGGUGCCUACCUCAAAAGUUUUAUGAAUGCAUAAAGCGUGAGCUCUGU